rnacentral:rRNA from 1 species
GUUUGCUUGCAAACCAAAGCUGGCGACCGGCGCACGGGUGAGUAACACGUAUCCAACCUACCUCAUACUCGGGGAUAGCCUUUCGAAAGAAAGAUUAAUAUCCGAUAGCAUAUAUUUCCCGCAUGGGUUUUAUAUUAAAGAAAUUCGGUAUGAGAUGGGGAUGCGUUCCAUUAGUUUGUUGGGGGGGUAACGGCCCACCAAGACUACGAUGGAUAGGGGUUCUGAGAGGAAGGUCCCCCACAUUGGAACUGAGACACGGUCCAAACUCCUACGGGAGGCAGCAGUGAGGAAUAUUGGUCAAUGGACGCGAGUCUGAACCAGCCAAGUAGCGUGAAGGAUGACUGCCCUAUGGGUUGUAAACUUCUUUUAUAUGGGAAUAAAGUGGUCCACGUGUGGACUUUUGUAUGUACCAUAUGAAUAAGGAUCGGCUAACUCCGUGCCAGCAGCCGCGGUAAUACGGAGGAUCCGAGCGUUAUCCGGAUUUAUUGGGUUUAAAGGGAGCGUAGGCGGAUUGUUAAGUCAGUUGUGAAAGUUUGCGGCUCAACCGUAAAAUUGCAGUUGAUACUGGCAGUCUUGAGUGCAGUAGAGGUGGGCGGAAUUCGUGGUGUAGCGGUGAAAUGCUUAGAUAUCACGAAGACUCCGAUUGCGAAGGCAGCUCACUGGAGUGUAACUGACGCUGAUGCUC